rnacentral:misc_RNA from 1 species
GAUGAAGAACGUAGCGAAAUGCGAUACUUGGUGUGAAUUGCAGAAUCCCGUGAACCAUCGAGUCUUUGAACGCAAGUUGCGCCCGAAGCCAUUAGGCCGAGGGCACGCCUGCCUGGGCGUCACACGUCGUUGCCCCCCCAUCUACUCCUUCGGGAUUGCGGGGGGCGGAUGAUGGCCUCCCGUGCGCCUCGUCGCGCGGUUGGCCUAAAUGCCAAGUCCUCGGCGACGCACGCCACGACAAUCGGUGGUUGCGAAACCUCGGUUGCCUGUCGUGUGCGGUCGUCGCGCAUCGAGGGCUCGAAAAAAUUGCCGGGCUUCGGCUCGACUUUCAACGCGACCCCAGGUCAGGCGGGGUUACCCGCUGAGUUUAAGCAUAUCAAUAAGCGGAGGA